rnacentral:rRNA from 1 species
UAAUACAGAGGGUGCAAGCGUUGUUCGGAAUUACUGGGCGUAAAGCGCGUGUAGGCGGUCCAGCAAGUCGGGUGUGAAAGCCCUAGGCUUAACCUAGGAACUGCAUUCGAAACUACUGGACUCGAGUAUCGGAGGGGAUGGCGGAAUUCCCGGUGUAGAGGUGAAAUUCGUAGAUAUCGGGAGGAACACCUGUGGCGAAGGCGGCCAUCUGGAAGAUUACUGACGCUGAGACGCGAAAGCGUGGGGAGCAAACAGGAUUAGAUACCCUGGUAGUCCACGCUGUAAACGAUGAGUGCUAGGUGUUGCGGGUAUUGACCCCUGCAGUGCCAAAGCUAACGCGUUAAGCACUCCGCCUGGGGAGUACGGUCGCAAGAUUA